rnacentral:rRNA from 1 species
AGCGAACGCUGGCGGCAGGCCUAACACAUGCAAGUCGAACGAACUCUUCGGAGUUAGUGGCGGACGGGUGAGUAACACGUGGGAACGUGCCUUUUGGUUCGGAAUAACUCAGGGAAACUUGUGCUAAUACCGAAUGUGCCCUUCGGGGGAAAGAUUUAUCGCCAUUAGAGCGGCCCGCGUCUGAUUAGCUAGUUGGUGAGGUAACGGCGCACCAAGGCGAGGAUCAGUAGCUGGUCUGAGAGGAUGACCAGCCACACUGGGACUGGGAAACGGCCCAGACUCCUACGGGAGGCAGCAGUGGGUAAUCUUGCGCAAUGGGCGAAAGCCUGACGCAGCCAUGCCGCGUGAAUGAUGAAGGUCUGAGGAUUGUAAAAUUCUUUCACCGGGGACGAUAAUGACGGUACCCGGAGAAGAAGCCCCGGCUAACUUCGUG